AGAGGAUAAUUUAACACCCUUUCAACGUAAGGAAAUCUGACACAGCAAACGGCCUCCAAGAUAUGCCCUUGUGUAAAAUGAUAUUUUAUUCAAGAAGAAAAUAGCUCUUCUGCAAUUUCAUAUUUUUCAAAAUGACGGUAACUGCUUGGCCUUUUUCUGCCAAAAUAACAUGAAAAAGAUUGAUUUCACUGAACAAAUUUUUCAAGUCUGAUAGAAAGCAACUCCUCACCUUUGUGUAUUUAUGAUACUUUAACCAGUCUGUGAAACACAUCCGACAGAGGUAUCUCAGAGGUAUUAAUUGGGCAGCCCAGCAAUACGCCACCUCGCUGCGCAGCUGUUUGGUCCCUGCAGCUAACAAGCUCCUUAUUCUACUGCUAAGAGAGCCAGUAACAACUGCAAUAUCCACACACAACAAACAUGGCAUUCUUAUUAGAGUCCGGAAUGUUUCUUUGGUAGACAGUAACUAUCCAUUUUCUUGCUUCCCCCGCCUCAGGUGUUUUUCCAGGUUGAGAGUCUUAGCUUUCUAAGUCAGGUUGUUGACCAGUGGUUACUGAAGUCUUAAUAUCUGUGUACAAGACUAGACUGAGGAAGUAUUUAUUUCCCAUGGGUCUGGAUAUGGAAAUAUUCUUGUCUAUGUAUGUAUCUGGUGCAAAAGACUAAUGAUUACAUUAUAGUGUGCAUUCUUGUGAAUAUCUGGUGAUAUAUCAAUUGUUAUAUCCUAACAUGAGCUCUACCUCUCUAAAUAAUGUGUAAGUUGCUUAUCUUUGAGGGUUAAUAAAUUAUUGCACCAUUUUGCCUUUCUUCCCA
rnacentral:lncRNA from 1 species